UCUCCGGUAUACAUUUUUAACUGUGAUAAGGCUAUAAGAAUAUAAUAUUCAUAAACGUAAACCCAUUAUUUGUGUUUAUCAAUUAUAUCAGAAAAUCAGUUACCAGAGCAAUGAAUGAAGUCUCUUAAUUCGUUUGAAUUCGUGUUAAAAAUAUGAUACGGGGUUCCAAUUUUAAAAUCGAACGUGUAAAAACAUAAUUUUAAUUCACAAAAAAUCCUCCGAGAAAAUCGCCAGUCCAUGACAAAAUAGAUAACUUUGUAUUAUUAUAUAAAUAUAUGUAUAUA